rnacentral:rRNA from 1 species
GAUGAACGCUGGCGGCGUGCCUAACACAUGCAAGUCGAGCGAAGCACUCUACCUGAUUUCUUCGGGAUGAAGGUUUAGUGACUGAGCGGCGACGGGUGAGUAACGCGUGGUAACCUGCCUCAUACAGGGGGAUAACAGUUAGAAAUCAUUGCUAAUACCGCAUAUGCCAUGAAUAUCACAUGAUAAAAAUGGGAAAGGAGAAAUCCGCUAAUAGAUGGGCUCGCGUCUGAUUAGAUAGUUGGUGGGGUAACGGCCUACCAAGUCAACGAUCAGUAGCCGGACUGAGAGGUUGAACGGCCACAUUGGGACUGAGGAUACGGCCCAG